CAACUCCACUCUAUCUCUCAAUCUAGUAGAAACUAGAAGAUCUAAUUCUACUCACAUUGGAUGCUAAGCCCUAAGUCUAUUUAGAGGAGAGGUAUUCCUUCGAGGGCUCCUCUCAACUCUAUGAUGAACUUGUUCUCCUCCAGGGGCCAGGGGGUCUGGUUAUAUAGUCCCUUCAAGUGAAUAUGGGCCGUCGGAUCAAACCGACAUUGAUUGAACGGUUAUCCUUGAUCCUUUAGGUCGGUGGAGCGUAAUCCCCGAAGAGAGUCCUGGUUGGACUCUGGGACAGGGCGGGCGCCCUAGGGGGGAGGGCGGGCGCCCUGCCCCUAGGCCCGUUCGCCUUCCCGUUCGUUCCCGUGGCUUCUGGAGUCUUCUAGAUGACAGAAAAUUGCACGGCACGUUAAUAUCUCUAUGCAAACCCGAUGUGUCGGCCUUUCUUCCAUAUUUCCUGAUAACCCCCUACAGAAAUAGACAAACACCAAAACUCGUAGAAUUCUGUGAAAUAAAACCCUAAGUCUGGGUGUUGGAUGCAUUUGGAUCCUUUUCUUUAUUUAUUUGAUGAUUAUAUUUGGUACUUAAGGACCGUCAACAACUCCCCCAAGCUUACCUCUUGCUCGUCCCUGAGCGAGGAUGAACUCAAGAGUUUCUACUGUGGUUUCAUGCCUUAAAAGUAAGAUCUCAUCUCUGAGUUAGAAUAAAGAGUUAAGACUUAAAACUUACUCAUUUUACCUUUCACCAUGGGGCUUGCAACCGUCACUUGUGUCUUGAGCAGUUAAAAGAUAGAAUGGUCAAGUCAAGCGCCAUGUCUCGUAUUCUUGAUCAGCUAUAGCUCUGGAGUUUUUGCAGAUUUUCUAACAAAACUCAGAGAUUCCUUGUAUGAAUCUCUCAAUUCUCUCUUUUGUGGUAUUUCUGGAUCCUUACCAAGGCAGUAAUGGUAUAUGCCUUCUCUCAAAGUAUGUGGUAUUUUUGGUAUGAGGCAUAGUGAUAUUGCCUUCUCUCUCACCCUACUCUAAUAAGGUUUUGAUAUCUGGAGCUCAUAGGUGGGAGACAAAUAAUACAUACUUACAAGACAUUUAUUGCAUAGUCAAUUCAUGGAUCCAGAGAAACUAGUCAAUAAGUCAAAUCAAGAUAUGCAUGUGUGGCGAGUGAAUGGUGUAUGGUGAUGAUGGUGAUAACAAUGGUGAAAGUCUAAUUCUACUUUUUGCUGUUUUAAGGGGAUACAUACCUUUCUUGCACUUUGAAGCUUUUUUGGGGAGAAUGAGAUGCUCUAUAUUUUCUUUUUCUUUUAUCUAAGGUGGGUAUCUUAUACCCCUAAUUCUAUUGUCGGACACUUGUCCAUUUUUACCUCUCGUCUCACACUUUUUUUUCUUCGAGGUUCCGGGCACUUGCCCCUUUUUAUUUCCUCGUAUUCUUCAUUUUUUUUUCUUUUUUUAGAACACUCACCCUCCUGGAAUAACGUAGCAAGUGGCAGUAACCAAGAUAACUUGAGAAUUGAUUUCACAGGGAAAAACAGAAAUGUUUUGGGCUAUUCUCUCCCGGAUUAGGAGUAGAAUAAUUUUGGGUGAAUCUAGAGAUGGAAAUUAGUGGAUGUAUGUGGAUGCGUACUUCCGGAGUAGAAGUAGCAUGUAUGAGUGAACGUGCAAGUGAAUCUUGAUUUUAACCGCAUGACAAGCUCCUAAGGGUCUACACAGCUUGACCACACUCAAUGCUCAUAAGUAGUAAAAAGUAAAUAUAUGGUUCAUAGUCUAAUAAGCAUGUCUAUAUGGCUGUGGUAUAAAUUUAAACUCUCAUCAUACAGGAACUCAUCAUGUGUUAUUUUAAAGAUUUUCAAAGAUAAAAUUCUCUAGAAUUCUAGCAUCUCUAGGAACAAAUAAACAGCAGCUCAACCUUCCCAUAUCAUAUCCGUUAACGACUUAGACUUUAGAUCAAGUACUCUUCCCACAAGUUCAGGUUUAGAGCAGGUUUAAAUUAUAACAGUUAUACCUAAACUUGAGAGAGAUUUCAAUUUUGAGAACUAGUCAUGGCAGAGCAACUAUUCAUCAUUUCCAUGUGAGAGCUUAUCAUAAGGGUUCAUAGCAAACUUUAUUUAUUUAUUUAGCAAACUAAGCAAAGAUAUAUAUAUAAAAGCACAAAAUCUUUAUUUGAGUUUUUUAUGAUUAUGCAUCUUUUUAUUAUUUGAGUAAAGUAUAAACGCGAGUAGAAACACUUAGCUGGAUAAAUGGGGGUGCUCUCCCCCAAGCUGGAUUUUGACGUAAUUUCUUCUAAUGUAGCUAGCAGGUGGUGGAGGUGUAUUUGAAAGUCGGCAGCACCCUGACAGCGAUUAGGAUGUCCUCCGUCUGCUAGUCUUCUUUGAUCCUUGAAUUCUGUGGAGCUCAAAUAGACAACAAAGCUUUGUGGAACUGAUUAGGUGUUAGCAUAAAUAUCUAGCCUUUAUCAUGUUGAGCCUCCUCAAUAAAUGUUAUUUAUUUAGCAGGAUCAUGCACUUAUUAUUUUUAUAUUUUUAUUGUAAGAUGAAAACAUAUUUAUUUUAUGCCACCACAGUGAAUGUACCUAUGGGUUUUAUGCCAUGAGCAUACUCGCACGGGGCUUACUAUUUUUUAACAUUUUUAUUUUCUUUUCAAGAUGAUAUGAACCUGAUUAACUUACAAACUAUUUUAAAUAGGAAAAAAGAUAACUACCAAGUUUACCUCUUGGCAAGGCGUUCGGUCUUUUUGAGUCCUCCGAACGGGACUCUCCGUUUUCUCAAUUGUCCUGGGAUUUGCUGGGUGGCGUAGUCGGUGGUUCCGGCGGCGCCUCCUCUUCAUGUAUAACUAUCUUCUCUUUCUGACUCAGUGCUACGGUCUCCUCAGGACAGUUCUGUUCAAGCUGUAUGUCUUCAGACCUUAUCACUUCUCCUUCGUAGUCUACCCAUCCGUCCUUGAUGAUUUGCCUCCUCUGGUUUCAGUUGCGUCACCUUCUCAGAGGAAAGUGCAUGUGGACUUCUCCGGUUCCAAUAUAAAUGAUGGCUUUGAUGGUGUUGAGGAACGGUCUUCCAAGGAUGGUGGGUGGAUCAUACUCGUCUUCUCCCAUGUCAAUGACCUGAAAAUCAUCUCGAGCUGAAUGUAUGUUGGUUGUAGGGGCAUGGUUCCAUGUAGGAGCUGAUAAGUGACUGCGGCCAUUAUGUUGACGUCAGAUCCGGUGUCUUAGAGUGUCUUGUGAAAAGAGUAUCCGUUGAUUGUGCACUCGAUGCUUGGAACACCAGGGUCGUCCGUGUUCAUCCUUUAGGUGCAUUAUUUGAUUAGGUGUGGGCCUUGACAUCUGUACUUCUGAUACGGUGUCACCCAUGUUCUCCGUUUGCCUAGCAGUUCGAGGUGCGGCAUUAGCAGCAUCCUGCUCAGUGUGUUUGUGCUUGUAGAUCCAAGUUCUUCACUUGGUGGAGUCUGGGAGUUGUAAAACUCCUUCAUAUUUUGUUGAAGUGUACCUGCUCAUAGAGACAAGACAGAGAUCAAGUGCAUGGGCCCUGUUGGUGGAAAACACCAACAGAACCAAAAGUAUAUUUAUUCUUCUCUAUCCUUAAGCAUAGGGAGGAAGACAAAGUUGAUGGGUGAUAAGUUCAUGAGUGUAGCAUUUAAAAUAUUUGUCAGAUCAGAUCGCUCAACCUUAUGGAAAGGUAAUCUAUCUAUGUAUAUGUCUUUUUCUUUAUAUCUUCCCAAAGAUUGAAUGUGCAACAUUUUAGCUCAUAUGAUUAGGAGUGUAGGAUCGUGGAGGUAGUACUAGGAACAAAGAUUAAAGGACUAAGCAUGCUGAAUCAGUUAGGUUGGUUAAUUUGGAGUUACAAAUCAUACAUGUUUGUCUCUUUAUUUUAUGUGAACGCCAGAACCAAGGAGAAGCUUAUAAAAGUGAUAGUCAAGUACCUUAAUAUGUUACCUUACUUGAAGAGCGAUGGUACAGUAUCACCUUGUGGAAGCUUUCCUUUCUUAGCGGUUGUGCAUCGUGUUUGUGGCACUCUUUGUCUUGUUCCAUGGAUCAUGUCUCUAUGAUGAAUGAGCUAUGUCUUCCUUGUGCAAAUCAUUAAACUUCAUAUGUCUCCUUUAUCCCCAAUGUGAGUUUGUAUCUCAGGACUUCCCAGGUUGAUAUUGAAAGUUAUCCUGCAGGGGUUAGUCCGACAAAAUAUACCAAUGCCUACUCAAGCAGUUUUUAGUUCAGUAACCAAACUAGACUCCAUGUCUAAUCAGAUUAAGGAAGGCUAUUUAACCUAAACAAAAUGCUUAAUUUAAAAGCCAAUAGAAGUAUGUACAGUACUUCCAAACUAACACUUACUAAGAUAAACAUAGGUAGCAUGAUGGCUUUUAUAGAGAUCUACUCAAGUGGAGAUGAAGUAGUGUGAUUAGUAUUUAACAAAUUGAGCAUGUCUCAAAGGUAAGGACAACCAACAUAGCAACAUGGCAAAUGAUGUUUUUAUGUAAAGUACUCCCCCAAGCUUGAAUUUUGCAAAAUUCAAGAUUGGAUGAAUUUAAUUCAAUAUUGCAUGAUGAUUGGUUGGGCAUACCUUGCGCUUGUCAUUCCUCGGAUCUUCUUGCUCCAAUCCUAGAAAGGUUAGUGAUACGAAUACUCGAAGGAAUAUUUCUACAAUUAUCUUUAUAUGCUCAAUACACAAGGCAAUGUUGCAAAUAAUUAGAAGUUCAUGUCACGAUCUGAUGAGUCCUUGUUUUAGGACACUAAGCUUGUCCUUGGGAAACCAUCAAUCAACUCAACGAGAUCUGCAAUAUUUAUUAUAGACAUAUGCAUUGACAACCGCCCCUUUAAAGUUUUUAUAAAUAGAAAGGAAGUGGAGGUUGGAGAUCUCAAAUGUGGUAAGGUUGGAGAGACCAAUUGAUUUGGAAGAUGUUUUAUAUGAGCAAGGACUUGGUGAGGUAUUUAUGAAAUAACUUUCUUGCUCACUGUUGUUUCUCUCAUUCUCAAACUCCAAGGAUGAUUCUUCAUAAAUGCUUAAAAUUCCUCUAGGAUUGUCUCUCAAGUUUGUUUUAUCCAUCCAUUCAAUGGUGAUAGCACAUGGAUUUUUAAUGCCCUCUAGCCAUUGAUGUUGCUCUUCUCGAUCCUCCUUGUGGUCUUGGUGACUCUUAUGCAUGGGAUGUCUAGAGAGAUUCAUAGGAUUAUCGGGAGGUUCAAGAGAAAGAGCAUAGUAGAAAUUAUUAAGCUCAAGGAUGGGAUGAAUACCCGAAUCAUGGGAUUGAAAUGUUUGGAAAUUGGCUAUUGAAACGUCCUUUCCUUGUCUGGGAGAUGAUUCCUUCUCUAUCUCUAGGAAUUUUUUAUGAAGACUAGUGCAAGAAGGAUGUCCACGAAUGAAGACAUACCUUCCUUUACUAAUAGAUAAAGAGGGAAAGACUCUACCAAAGGUUAUAUGAUUAAGACCAAUGUGAAAAUAUCGAGAAAAAACAUGGUCUUGUAGGCCUAGGUUUAAACAAGAAUGUAUAGAAAGAUUAAAAGAUUCCCUAGGAGUAGCUAAAAGUUCAUUAUCUUCUUGAUUAAAAGAUAGGACCUCGCCUAUAGAAAAGGGUUGGUUUUGACCUAUUGCAAUCAACUCCGGACACAGAUCAUAAUUAGGGGCAGGACGUGUUGACUCCCAUGGUCUAUGGCUGUUCUCCGAAGGUGCAAAGAAUUCAAUAAUAGGUAUGGAAUUUGAGUUAUCCAUAAAGAUGAAAAAAAUAAAAACAUCAAAGAAUAAAAGAAUAAAAGUAUAAUACAAGAUAAUAGCAAGACUCAAAGUUAUCUCAGCAAACCGUCUUUCUCCCCGGCAAUGGCACCAGAAAUGUUUGUUGAUAUUUGGUAACGCAAUAAGGAAUUGAUCCGCAAGCGCACGGAUAUCGGUGAGCAUUUCACACGGGAGGUUAUCCAGAGUAUCGUAUUUAUAUUUUUACCACUGGAAGAAAGGGUGCAUCUGACUAACCAAAUCUAUUACUACUACCCUUUAGGCUACAAAGAAUGUUUCUCGAUGUGAGCGAUGUAUAAAGAAGACUGCAACCGUAGUCUCGUUCUAACCUUGGUAAGGAUGAUCUACUGUUCUAUUGGGGAGGCUCACAAAAUCUAGACACCACAAGGAUGUUCAACCCACACCUAUAAACCCUAUCCUUCCUGCUAACAAGAUAUGGUCUGCAAAGGUAACUCGGAAAUGUCACGUUCCUUGCUACUACCACGGUCCAGCUAGUCAGGGGAUAUCUAUGAGUACCCUAGCCCAAACACCACGUUUACGCUAGCAAUGAUUACUCUAAACUCAACCGGAAGAGAUUAAAGUAAAACCAUAAACCAAAGAACAAUAAAACAAGAACUUACUAGAAUUAGAAGUCGAAUUACUGAAGAAUCCUAGGAGCAAGCUUCGGGUUAGGAGAACUUGAUCCCGCAGGUACAACCUCGGACUAGACACUGACAGGUCGGGCUUCCUCCGAUCUACACCUCCACUCUAUCUCUCAAUCUAGUAGAAACUAGAAGAUCUAAUUCUACUCACAUUGGUUGCUAAGCCCUAAGUCUAUUAGAGGAGAGGUAUUCCUUCGAGGGCUCCUCUCAACUCUAUGAUGAACUUGUUCUCCUCCAGGGGCUAGGGGGUCUGGUUAUAUAGUCCCUUCAAGUGAAUGUGGGCCGUCGGAUCAAACCGACAUUGAUUGAACGGUUAUCCUUGAUCCUUUAGGUCGGUGGAGCGUAAUCCCCGAAGAGAGUCCUGAUUGGACUCUGGGACAGGGCGGGCGCCCUAGGGGGAGGGCCGGCGCUCUGCCCCCGGGCCCUUUCACCUUCCCGUUCAUUCCCGUGGCUUCUAGAGUCUUCUAGAUGAUAGAAAAUUACGCGGCACUUUAAUAUCUCUAUGUAAACCCGACGUGUGGGCCUUUCUUCCAUAUUUCCUGAUAACCUCCUGCAGAAAUAGACAAACAUCAAAACUCAUGGAAUUCUGUCAGAUAAAACCCUAAGUCUAGGUGUUGGUUGCAUUUGGAUCCUUUUUAUUUAUUUAUUUGAUGAUUAUAUUUGGUACUUAAGGACCGUCAACAAGCAUGACCACAACACAGUUGUUUUGGAGGAUUGCUCCACCUCGUGGUCAGUGAUGAUGAUGAUGAUACCACAAGAUCACUUGACAAGGACGAUGAUGAUGCCACAAGUGAUGCCAAUGAUGAUGCUGUGAAGACAAUGGCUAUGAUAGUGAUGCUUCUACAAGCUCAUCCACUACAUCACCACACUUCUUCAUGUUACAUGGUGACACUAAGGUAUCUAUUGGAGAUGUGGUUGUUGAUUGUGAUAAUCCAAAUUUUGGGCUUAUAUAUAAACACCCAAAAGCUUUAAGACAUGAGUCGACAAAAACAAGUAAAUUGGAAAACAAAAAGUCAUUUCUAAAGACCACACGUGGACAACAAAAGCAUCUACUUUAUGUUACAACUUGUUCAUAUGAGGAGCUCGUUGAUAUUUCUAAUACAAUUCCAAAUAAGAGGUUCAAACUCUAUCCUAGUAAGGCAUUAGAAAUAUUCGAGACAUCUCUUAGAAUUGCAUAAGUCAAGUUGUCAUCCCCAACACAACACCAAAAGAUGUAGUUGUACUUAUGAUCAUGACACUUUAGAAAAGUUAAUAAAGGUUAUUUGCAAAUGCACAGAUAAAAUACACCUAUUGUCGCAUUUCACCCAGGAAAGUUCUAGGUAUCGUUAUUUAUAAUUUUACCACUAGGAAGACACUUGGAGGUAUAAAAGCUAUAUCUUACACUUGUGAUAAGAGUUCCACUAGAUCAAUACUCGAAACAGGGAUCAAUCAUAUCAUAAAUAAGGAUAAUUAAUAAUAAGUCAACAUAUCUCAAAAGGAUUCCAUCGAGUAUUUCCUAUCUAAACGUGAUUCUAGAAAGAACUAGAAAAUAGAGGCUAACUCCUAUAGUUAGUCUAACUAUAGGUCAUUAAGAUACCUUAAUUAGUGCAAUUGUAUUAAGUAAUCAUAGUUAUGACUUUACUUGUAGUCCAUACACAAGAGACAUUGCUAAAGUGGGUUAGGAACAUAGCAAGACAUCACCCCACAACUCCGCCUUACUAGUCCAAUAUUCAGGGAGUGGACUAUGUAGGACUCAAUGAAGCUGUCACCUUUCCGAUCUACCACAUGACCCAGAACAUAGGGUGCAUUUGCAGAUAGACUUUGUCUAAGCACCCCGCUUAUACAACUUCUACCACCCACCCCUGAGCUCAAAGGAUGAGUGCUAUACAAACAUGUGCAUAAAUACAAAGCUAAUCCAACAAUACUAAACAUAUUAUCAAAGUAGGCAAUGAACAUUAUAAUUCUGAAUAUAUAAUUAUACCAAGUCAUAUGAAGUAUUCGAAUCAAACACAAACUAAAAUAAGAACUAGAGGGGAGUUAUGAACUAGACAAGAACACGAUGAAUUAGACGAUAAGCUACAUGAACUAGAAUAAGAACAAGAUGAAUUAGAAGAUCUAAUUGAUGAACUAGAAGAACAAAGGAUGAACUAGAAAAUAAACACAAUGAACUAGAAGGUAAAUGACUCAAAUAGAUUAACAAUAUUGAAUACAAGAGAGAAGAACAAGGCUUUACCUAGCCUCCUCAUGACUAGAUCCUAAAUCCGUGCGUUGCUUGACUCCUCUAAUUUCUAUUCUUAUCUAGCUACGCCCUAAUUGGUGGAACUCUAAAUUGAACUACGAGAUAUGAUGGACUCAUUGGUUAAUGAUUGAUUGAUCCCUCCAAGGGGGUUUGCCUCUGCUUAUAUAAUCCAAUGGGAUGAACCAUAGCCCUUGGAUCAAACUGACAUAGAACAAGGGUCAAGAUGCAUCAUAGAGGUCGGUUGGAAACCAUCACGCAAAGGAGAAGGGACUGCCAAGUGGGUAUAGGCUAGCGAGCCUAGCUAGUUGGGUUGGCUGGCCCCACUUGGCCGCCACCGGUCUCUCGCUUUGUUCUCGUGUCUUCUGGUGUCUUCUACAUCCUUCUAGUGUCCUAUUCCUAUAUGUUUGCGUAAUGAGUCACAUUGAUGGAUUCUUUCCUUUCCCAGCUUUAGAAUAAAUCCCCAAAAAAGAUUAUUUUGCAGAGCUAUGGAAUCUUGUCGGUUUAGUCCCUGAUCUUGUAAUGGAUGAUGGUUCUAGGGUCUUCUAGAGUGUUCCGGGUCGUAUCCACAGAGGACUUCUCUCCGGUGCUCCAACUAUGGCAAAUGAUAUGUCCAUUUUCAUCGUCUCGAUGAGCUCUCCACAAUGGUGUACCUCGAUUCUUCACUUGAGAUACUUUUAUAUGGUAAAAUAUUAGAUAUCCUACAAGACAAGUGAGAUCAACACAACUUGUGGAACUUGUUAGAAUAAACCCCUAUAACCUUAAUUUAUAAGUCAUUUUUUAUCUCUCCAGUGGUUACUUGAUGGUUGAAAAUUGGAGUUAAUUACCGUCAACAAACUACCCCAAGCUUAUCCUUUGCUAGUCCCUUAGCAAACAAUAGAUGGUUGAAUAAGAUGGAUCAGGAGUUGCUAUAAUGCUUUCACAACUCAAAAGUACACCAAUGUUCAAACAAAAAUUAUCCUCUGAGUUAGAACAAAUUAUUUGAACUUCCAACUUACCCAUAUUACCUUUAAUCAUGGAGCUUAUAACAUUCACUUGGGUCUUGGGUAGUUCAGAAGUAGAAUGAUUAAGUCAAGCACUAAGUCUCUAGUUCUUCGAUCUAGCUUCAUUCCAGAGUUUUUACAUGUUUUCAAAACAAAACUCACAGAUUCCUUCAUUUGAUCCUUUCAAGUCUCUCAUUAUGUAGUAUUUGUGGAUUCCUCUCUAAGGCAGAUAAGCAUCAUACCUUCCCUUUUCUCUCCCUAUGACUAAGGCUUAUGUGGGCUAAAGGUAUUUCAAGGAUAUAGCGUACUUACCUUGCAUAUAUUGCCUAAUCAAACCGGGAUCCUCGGAGGGGAUACCAUACUCUUAGAUCAUGAUGUGCAUGUGUGUGGACAUAUAUAUUUAUGGUGGUGGAUAUAUGGUGGAACAAUGGAUGUAUCAUGAUGAGGGUGAACACAAUGAAAAUAUUAUCUUUAUUUGAUUGCUCCUCGAGGGUAUACUUCUCUCUUGAACUUUGAAAACUUUGAAGAAAACUUGGGCUAGAUACUUUCUCUUCUUCUUUUUUCUUUCCUUUUGUAGAACUAGAACUGGCCUUCCAAGCUUCUUUUGCUGAUGAAUAUCAAGAGAUAAUAACAAGGACUGCUGGAGCAGUUUAUGGAUUGGCGUGAAAACAAUGAUAAGGUUUGAUAUUGAGGGAAAUAUUUUUGGUUGUUCAUUCCUUGGGUAGGAAUAAAACAUUUUUGGUGGAUCUAAAUGGAAAGCAUGUGGGUGUGUACUUCCAGGGUAGAAGCAUCAUAUUUGGUGGAGUGUACGUGAUCUUGAUCUUAGUAGUAUGACAAACCUCUCGACAAGGGUCUUUCAUGGGUUGAUCAAACUCAAUACAAAAUAAGUAGCCUAUGAGCUGGUUUUCCUAGUCUAGCAAACAUAUAUAUGGUUGUGGUAGGAAUUCAACACUCAUCAUAUAGGAACUCAUCAUAUGGUAUUUCUAGUAUCAUGAGGAACAAGAUAAAUAGAAGCUCAAAACCUUUUCAUAUCAUACUCAUCAAUCACCUAGACUUAGAUCAAGCUUUUGCAACCCACAGAUUUCAAGUUUAUGGUAAAUCUUUAUGUCAAAACAAUCAUAUCCUAAAACUUGAGAAAAUUUAAGGUUGAACACUAGGUACUUGAAAGGCAUUACAGCAGAGCAACUAUUCAUCAUUUCCAUGUAAAUAAACUAUCUAAAUAUUCUAGGGCAAGUAAAGCAAACUUGUACACUCUCUUUUUAUUACCUAAUUAUUUAUUACCUAGUAGAUAUAGUAGACUCUCCUUAUUUUGUUUUCUAAGUUAUUUAUCUUUUAAAUAUAAAGCACACAUAAGGAAAUAGAUACUUAGCUAGAUAUAUGGGAGAUGCUCUCCCCCAAGCUAGAUGUUGACAUAGUCGUUUACCUUGAAUCUUGUAGCAUAGAUGUUCUCCAUCGCUUUGGGUCUCUAGAAGUGAUAAAGUGGCGCUUCCCAUAGUGGAUGAAAACUUUUCGCUAGUCUUCCUUCUUGUUGAAUCUAUCUUAAUCAAAUAAACAACAAAGCUCAUGGAACAAAUUAAGCAUUAGUGGUAAAACCAUCUAUCUGUUUUAGGAUUUUUAUAGAAUUUCAUUCAAGCAAUUUUCAACAAGAUUUCAAUAUUUUUUUGGAUUUUCUAUUUUGUAUGCAAAUGUAGAAUUACUUUUGUGCCUCCACAACAAUUAACUUACUUGCAUGGGGCUCUAGUUUUUUUAGAUGCAAUGCUAUGAUGCAUCAAAACUUUUUUAUUUUCUUUUCAAUGCAAUGGGGUGAUAUGCUGAAUGCUUAUGAGUGAAAUGUAGAACAAUAAUUAUGCUAAAAUGAAGAUUAUGCAGGGAAAUAAAUAUGAGGAUAACUACCGAUGUAACCUUUUCGGUGAAGGUUCAGAGAUUUAGAUCCAUUGAACCGGACCAUUCGGCUCAAUCAAGUACUUGUGGGUGCGUCUGAGGAGGUAGAGUCCUCCCUGAUUUUUCCUCUUCUAUUUGUUCCUGAGUAUCUGGUUAGUUGGGAGAUAGCGAUUCAUUAUUGUUCGUGAUAUGAUUGAGUCAAGUAUUGAAGCUUAUCACAUAUCCUACCCCAAUGCCAAGAAAAGUUAGUGAAGUCCAAAUCUGCUACAACAUGUAGUGUCAUAUUCAAAUUGUGAUAAUUUAUUGGAUUAUUUGAUGGCUUGCAAAUAUUUGAGAUAAAAGCUUGCUAAUGGAUGGUCAUGAGCAAACCAAGGUAUAUCUUUGAAUCUUAUUCAUUUGGGUACAUAUGAGUUGAUUGAAUUGGAUAUAUAUUGUCACACCUGGUUUAAAAGAACAAAACCAGUCUAGCCAUAUGUGUGUCUAGGAAGUCCACACAUACAACAACAAAAGCAAUAGUAUCAGAAACAAUGUUAUAUAGCGGAAAUAUAUUUAAAAUUAACACUUACAUCAGAGUAUUGCGGAACGGUAACUAAUCUUCAGGCUUAAUCUUCACAAGGACGGUUGACUGGGGGUUGCGUAUGCCAAGCACUUCUAACAGUUUCCUUAGAACGUUCUUCGUGGCUCCAUCACUCUUCUGAUCAACUCUUACUAGUAAACUGGAGUAGUGGGAAAUAGCAAGAGUGAGCCCAUGUCAUACUCAACAAGUAUAACUAGGGGUUCAUUGUUGACACUAGCUAACACAACUUAGAUACUAGGUUGUCAUCCCCAGGAUGGUGCCAGAGUGUACAAAGGUAUUUAUAAAUGUAAAGGCUCUCUAGAAAAUAAUCUAUUCUAUCCGCAAGCGCACAGAUAAAACACCUCAUUGUAGCAUUUCACCAGGAUAAGUAUUCCAGGUAUCGUUAUUUAUAAUUUUGCUCAAGGGAUCUAAGGAGAUUAAAUUAAGGGCAAAAUUUAUCAAGGCAUAGACUAGAGAUAAACUUGCAAGAACAUGAUUACUAAUGAGAAACUCGUCACACGGUCACUUAUUUUAGCAGGGGGUAAACCAUAAAGAUAAUGAUAAUGAAUUAUAAGUUCAAGGGAUAAAUAACACAGCGAUUAGAAAAUAGACUACUCCUCAUAUAUAUAGGUGAUGUCGGAUUAGCUAGAGAAUGGAUUCUAAGUUAUCUACUAACUACUAAGUCAUAAUCUACUCUAGUUAUCUACAAGAUCAUAUAUAGCAUAAAAGACUCUUCAUUCAUGUAUAAGGAACAUUGAUAAAGUAAAUCAGAGCAUCGCAUGACUUACUCCACAAUACCGGUUCUGCCUGUCCUAUCAACAGAGGGUGGACCAUAUAAGAAUCAAUGAAGCUGUCACUAUCGCGAACUACCACACGACCCGGCCAAUAGGAUACAUUUGUAGAUAAAUAACAUCUAAGCACCACGCUCACAUGUGAUCUAUCACCUAACUCCCUCGCGUCAAGAGCUAAGCGCUUUGCAAACUUAUACAUAAACUCAUUAUCAAUUAGAACUAUAUCAAAUAUAGAACUAGAGCAAACUAAGAACAUAAUAAUUAGAGACAUAAUGCAAUUAGAACAAAGAAUUAGAGAAAGAUAUGAAUAAUACCAAUCCUUAUUACCGAAGAUCCGAAUCCAGAGCGUAGUGCUCUACUUCUCUAAUUGCUAUCUAAUCAAACCUCUAAACUUCAAGGAUUAGGGAGUAGCUAUUUCUAAUUCUCUGUGGGAGAGAAGCUCUAAACCCUAACUUUGAUGGCUACCUCUGCAUAAUGAUUUCUUCUCUUCUCCUCCAGGGGCCAGGGGGUCUGGUUUUAUAGUCCCCUCAAGUGAACGUGAGCCAUUGGAUCAAACCGACAUAGAUUGUAUGGUUUAGAUUGAUCCUUUAGGUCGGUGGAGUUUAGCCCCGAAGCAGAGUCCUGAUUGGACUCCUGGCCUGGGCGGGCGCCCAAGGGGGGUGGUCGGGCGCCCUGCCCCCGAGCCCGAUUCCCUUCUCGUUCGUUCCCGUGGCUUCUAGACUCUUCUAGAUUGAAGAAAAUUGCGCGGCACGUAAUUAUCUUGUUGUAAACAUGACAUGUGGGCCUUCUCUCCAUAUUCUCUGAUAACCCCCUGCAGAAAUAGAUAAACACCAAAGCUCGUGGAAUUCUGUCAGAUAAAACCCUAAUUCUAGAUGUUUGUCUCAUAUAGAUCCUUUUCCAUGUUUAUUUGAUUAUUAAUUUUAGUACUUAAGGACCGUCAACAAACUCCCCCAAGCUUACCCUUUGCUCGUCCCUGAGCAACUAGCUAAACUCAGACGGAUCAGGAGUUGCUUCGAUGUUUUCUUUCCUGACAGGCACACAUGCUUUUACAUAAAAUUCUUCCAGAUUAGAGUGAAGUGUUAUGGAGUUUAGUACCUGCACUUAAAUCUUAAGUGAUCGAAAGACAAAAUAAUUAAGUCAAGCACUAUUCCUCCUGUCUAUACUUCACCUUUGUUCCAGAGUUUUUCAUAAGUUUUCAAAAUAAAACUCAGAGUUCCCAGCAAUGAUUCUCUCAAGUCUCUCUAUAUGUGGUAUUUGUGGAUCCUUACCAAAAUGUCACUUACCUAUAGCUAAUGGAAUAUUUAAGUGGAGCUCAUAGGAGUGAAAAACAGCUCAUACAUAUGUUGUCUAAUUGUGCCAUGGAUCCAAAGGAACUCAGCAUAUAAUUAAAUCAAGAUGUGCAUGUGUGAUGGAGUAAAUGAUAGUGAUGAUAAAAAUGUAUAAGUAAUAAUAAAACUUGGUUCUCAUUGCUCCUCAUAUUGCUAUCUCUCCUCUUCUUUGAUCUUUGCUUUGAGAGAACAUGGGCUAUCUCUCUCUUUUUUCAGGUGGGUAGUAGAUACCCCUAAUUCUACUGUCGGACACUUGUCCAUUUUUUCCGCUCAAGUGGGCAUUUUUGUACCCCUAAUUCUACUUCGGACACAUGUCCAUUUUUACCUCUCGUCUCACUCUUUUUCGUUCUUUUUCGAGGUUCCGGGCACUUGCCCCUUUUUAUUUCCUCGCGUAUUUUUGCAUAACCCAUGCCUCUUCUGCAUUGAAUCUUUUUAGAGAGAGAGAGAAUAACAAUAUUUGGGACAGUGAGUGAUAAUAUUUUUAGCAAUUUUAAUGAAUGGUGAUGGAUGGUGUAGUAGAUGUGUGCAAGUGAAUAUCUUAAUUUAACCACAUGAAAAGCUCCUAAGGGUCUACACAGCUCGAUCAAACUCAAUGUAAAUAUAGUAAAAGAUGUUAUAGCAAGUAUGGCUAUGGUAGGUAGUUUGUUAUGCUAGGAACUCAUCAUGUGAUUUGUAAGUUUUCAAAAUAAAUCUCCAGAACUUAGUGUAGUAGGAACAAGAUAAACAGUAGCUCAACUUUAUAUUAUGCCUUUCUCUUACCUAGACUUUAGUUUUAUGCUUCCCAAAGAUAGUAAUUUUAGUUUUAGUAAUUUCUGGAAGAACUCUAAUAUAAAAGCUAGGUACUUGAAAGUAAGCAAACAGAGCAACUGUUCAUUAUUUCCAUCAUGCAUCUUUUUGAUCUUUUUUCUGGAUAUUUGCACUUAACAGAUAAAAUAAAGCACACUUAUCUACACACUCUUUUUAUUUUGUUUUCAUGUUUAUAAAAUGCAGUAAAUUAAAGCAAGAAAAUAUUUAUUUGGUUUUCUAAGUUUUUUCCUUUUUAGAUAAAAAACUAAAAUAAAAAAGAAUAAAUAAGAAGGGCAAAUAAAAACUUACUUGAUAAAUUGGGAGGAACUCCCCCAAGCUGGAUGUUGCUGUCGGUCUUACCCGAUAUUCCAGAACCACAUCAUGGUUGUGAUGUUGUUGUUCAUUGUUGUUGUAUCUUGUCUCAGCUCUUCUACUGCAGCGGCAUGGUCCUGGUUCCAUUUUUGUUGCUCUUCCAGGAGUCUUCCAUGUUCUGCUUGCGUGUUCUGGAUGUCGAGGAGGGUGUUGUCGGUACGAGUGAAGAAAGCACCGGCCUCUUGAUAGUAGUCAUUCAUGAAAGCGUAGGAGGCGUCGGAGUAUCGUCCUGCAUCAAAUUGGGGCAGAGGUCUGGAUCCUGAAGCUAGAAAUGGAUCAGUGGAGUACCUGUCCGUAUGAAAAGGCAGGUUUGUCCACUGGUGAUCUUGGCUCUCCGGCCAUGUCUCCUCUGUUGGCUGUUGUGGUUGCGCAUGUCGAACCCAUGGGUCUCGAAGGACUCGGGGGUUGUAAUCGCAAUAAUACAGGUGCGCUGCUUCUUCUAGUCUGGGAUCAGCUCCAUACCAGGUGCGUUCUCGAUGGGUGGUCAUCCUUUCAGAUGCCACUCGCUGUGGAGCUCUCUGGUUCACUGGUGUUGCUGUAAUCUCAAUCAAAAGAUUUUGAACAACGUAGAGGCCAAGGUUCGGGUUAGGUAACCGAAUCUUUCCUUUAUCAUCAUAUAGCAUAUACAUUAUGUUCCCCUCUUUCUUUAACAUCCGAGCUUGUCUAAAUGUGUCAUAGCCAUGGUAAAUUCUUAAUUACUCUAUGAAAUCCAACGAUGAGUUUUCUAGUAAGUGAAGAUUAAAGGCUAGACGAGUGAUAAGUGAAGUACAUCCUACUGGUCCCUGAAGACUAGGUAUACUAAGCCAAUGUGAAACUAAAAGUGUAACAGGUGAAGUGGGUACUUUAUUAAUAGCAGCAUAUAAAAGUUGUAAAUCUCCUACUCUUACUUUCCUAAUAUCAUCACGAUAGAAAAGAUUGUACCCAAGUAAUUUGUGGAACAUCCUAAGAGUGGGGUGUUCCAUGUCACCGGUUCGGGCUUGACUAUAAAAAUUAUCUCUAGAUAUUUCUCUCCAAAACUAGUGUCUCUCAAAGUUAGGUAGGUCGGAGUCAAUGUUCAGGAUGCAUCUUGAAGAGAAAUCAAGAUGGUCGCUCAGUUCUCUCCAAGACAACAUAAUUUCCUGUUUGAACAUCCGAAAAACAAUUCCCCCCUCAUAGUAUUGUAAGGUGCAAAGAAAUUCGAGGGUGAGAAGACGAGAACCCAGCUCAGUUAUAUUCCAAAAAUUCGUCCAACCUAUCAUCUGGAAAAUUAAGUCAAAUUCAGUGUCCAUACCUGUUUCUUGUAGUAGGAUUGGAUCGAGAGUAGGGGUGUGAAUGAAAUCUUUGUUCUUCAAUUGCUGAUAGACUUCCUUCUCUCUUCGGGUCUUCAGUCCAAGGUCUCCUAUCUUGAGAAGGACCUUAACUUGCUGACCUGAUGAAGAUGAUGGAGCUUGUGUGGGUGUCGGGUCGACGCUCAUCUCUGAUGGGUGUGAAGAGUGUCGAGAUGAACUCCUUGUACCAAUGUUCUUGAGAGCCUUCCCUGCAUUCUUCACCUUCUUAAACAUCCUGUAAACAAAAGUUGGCAAAAACACAACUAGUGGAAAAUGUGAGAGAAAAUGUUAGUGGUCAGCUGUCCGGAAUGUUAGUAGUCCAGGGGUUAGUCGUUCAAGAUAAGUUUCUAUUUUGGCAGAACCUCCCCCUAAACAACUUUUACUUCCGCUUAGACAGCGGGAUCACUACUUGCUAGGUGAUACUCACUCUCUAUCAACUUCUUUCCCACUCUUCUCUUUCUCUCUACUCUCUUCUCUCUUCACUACAAGAGCUCUUUCAGGAAACUGAUACUUGUGUGGUUUUCUGGAGUGCUUGUGUGGAGAGGAUGGAGGUAGAAGGUGGCUAUUUAUAAGAGGAAGAGGAAGAGGGAGCAGGGCGGGCGCCCUUGGUAGGUGGGCGGGCGCCCACUUGUGAUGCCCAUCCUGGGUGUGCCUCCUCCACUUGCUUCCUUGCUUUGAUCUCACGCAGAAUAAUAUUGUGUUGGUGGUGGUUGGACGGUGGAAAGAUAUCAGGUAAGUGGAAACAUAUUGGUGGAUGAAAUUAUGUGAUGGGAUGUAUGUGAGGUGAAGUGUAUGACAUGUGGGACCCAAGAAGUGUGGGUCAUGCUUCUAGAAGGUUAAUAUAAUUAAAUAUAAUGCAGGAAAAUCUAUGAGAAUUGAAACUUAAUUAAAAAGAUAAUGGAAAAUAUUUUUGUGCCUCCACAAUAAUUAAUAAAUAUGGGUUGUUACACACCAUGAAUAUUAUUUAUAUGGGGCUUUUGAUUAUUAUACUAAUGCUAUGAACAUAUAUGACUAAUGCAAGAAUUUAAACAUGAGAAAAUUAAUAAUGCGGAUAAAUACCAAUUUACCUCCCGGUGAGGGUUUGGGAUUUUUAGGUCCCCCAAGCUGGACCUGCAAAUCUUUUAAUCUUCUGAGUUACCUUCCUCCGGAGAUGGUGUCUCCAGUGGUUCUUCAUGAACUUCCUUCACUAUAGAGUCUCUCUCUGGUCUGGGUUUGAAUGUGAAGUGUUCUUCUUUUCCAUUUAUGUUGAACUUGAUUUCUCCUUUUCCGACAUCGAUGUGGGCAUUGGCAGUGCUCAGAAAUGGCCUUCCAAGGAUGAUGGACACUUUUGAGUCAGGACUCAUGUCCAGUACUACGAAGUCUACUGGCACCAGGAAAUCUCUGAUCUUGACUGGAAUGUUCUCGGCGAUGCCCAACGGGUGUCGAACCGAUUGAUCCGCUAGUUGUAGACACAUUGAUGUUGGUUCUAGGGUCGCAUACUCAAGCUUUUUGUAGACUGAUGCUGGCAUCACAUUGACACUUGCUUCGAGAUCACAAAGUGCAUUGUUGAAGUGUUGGUUUCCGAUCGAGCAGUCAAUAGUGGGGCAUCCUGGAUCUUCCUUCUUCCUUGGUGGCUUGUUGAGGAUGGCCGCACUACAUUCUUCUGUCAGCUUGAUAACCUCAGUGGUGGGCAGUGGUCUCUUCUUGUUAAGAAUAUCUCUGAUGUACUUUGCAUAUGUAGGUACCUGUAUGGCAUCGAGCAGAGGUAUGUUGACGUAUAAUUUCUGAAUUACCUCUACAAACUUACCAAACAGCUCAUCCGACUGCAGUCCUCUGUUUCUCUUGGGAAAUGGCAAAUAGUUGGUGUCGUAAAAAUCUUUCCUCAUUUCUCCAGUUUUUGGUGGUUGUAGCAGAUCUUCUGCUUCAACUAGGCUUUCUUCUUCUAUCACUGCUGGUUGCACUGGUGCUGAGGUUCUUUAUUUCUCUUUUGGGUAUGGGGGAUCUCUGGUAGCUUUGCCUCCUCUAGUAGUUAUAUUCUUUACCUGCUCAAGGUUAGUAGCAACAGGCAGUGCAGCAGCUAUCUUUAUUAAUUUAAGCUCUACCCUUUUAUUAAGAGUGUUUUGCUCAUCAAAGGCAGUUAGUAGAAAAUCCAUUUUAUUGUGUAUAUCUUUUAGGCAUGAUUCAUUUGUAUCUAGCCUUUGUUUAACUUCAUCAUUAAUUUUGGUUUGUUGAGCAAUUAUCUCUUUUAAUGAAAGUUGCUUGAAAUUAUUACCUGAGUUCAUACCUUUGCUAUUGGGUUGACUCGAAGUUGGUUGAUAUUUGUAUGCUGUCUCAAUGGCCCUUUGAUCUUCUUUAAACUUGGCCCUCUGGUCAAUCCAAUGGAGCAAAUUUUCCAUCUUAGUUGAUAAUGCAUUUACUUCUUCUGGUAUUUCUUCAAUUUGAUGACAUUGUUGAGCUUUAUCUUGGAACCAGCUUUGGUUUUCUGCUAUCUUAUCCAAAAGUAUUUCUGCUUUUCCAGUUGUAAGCUCCAAGAAUGAUCCUUUAGCAGAUGAAUCUAGGCACUCACGAGCCUUCUGGGUUAAUCCAUGGUAGAAGGUCUGCAUAAGUAACCAUGUGGCCAUUCCAUGGUGAGGACAAUCUGAUAUGUAUCCUUGAAAACGCUCCCAUGCUUCAGAAAUGGCUUCUGUCUUCUGUUGUUGGAAACUGACAAUAUUUCCUCUUAAGGUAGUUGUUUUGCCUAUAGGGAAAAACUUUGAUAGAAAGGCAUCUGACAAGUUCGUCCAGUUGUUGAUGUUAUCUUGAUGAGUGUAGAACCACUUCCUCGCUUUUCCUUCUAGUGAGAAUGGAAAAAGGCGAAGUAGUAUGACGUCUUUGUCAACUCCGUUGAUGUGGAUUGUGCUUACAAUCUCUAAGAAAUUCUGCAAGUGUGCACUAGCAUCUUCAUGUGCCUUUCCACUGAAUUGUGUAGCUUGUACCAAAUUGAUGAGGCUUGACUUGAGCUCAAACUCAGGUAUUCCUUCUUCUACUGCAAAUCUUGGACCAGUUAGAAUGUUCUCAAGGCUUGGAGCAGAGAAUUCUUGUAGGGUCUUUUGUGCCAUAGCUUCAGCAAUUGGUAGCUAGCUUCUUCUUCUCUUGAUUGCUUUCGUUCUGAUGAUGAAGAGUUGAAUGUACCCAAAGUCAAUCCUGAUAUACCCUGUAUAAAAAUAUAAACAUAGAAAAACAACAGGGUGAACCUGCCAAAGCAGAGGUGCCUUGUUAUGAUUUCUCACUUAGUAGCUGCUUUUAUACAAUUAUUUCUCUAUAGUCUAGUCUAAUAUUUUAUAUGAAUAACCAUGACUGAUUUUCUGGAUUUCCUUACCGUUCCUAAGUAUUACCCUUUUGUUCCGUUUAUGACUUUCUUAUGAGAUUCCCCAGCAACGGCGCCAGAAAUGCUUGUUGACACUAGCUAACACCACUUAGAUACUAGGUUCUCAUCCCCAGCAUGGUGCCAGAGUAUACAAAGGUAUUUAUAAAUGUAAAGGCUCUCUAGAAAAUAAUCUAUUCUAUUCGCAAGCGCACAGAUAAAACACCUCAUUGUAGCAUUUCACCAGGAUAAGUAUUCCAGGUAUCGUUAUUUAUAAUUUUGCUCAAGGGAUCUAAGGAGAUUAAAUUAAGGGCAAAAUUUAUCAAGGCAUAGACUUGAGAUAAACUUGCAAGAACAUGAUUACUAAUGAGAAACUCGUCACACAGUCACUUACUUUAGCAGGGGGUAAACCAUAAAGAUAAUGAUAAUGAAUUAUAAGUUCAAGGGAUAAAUAACACAGCGAUUAGAAAAUAAACUACUCCUCAUAUAUAUAGGUGAUGUCGGAUUAGCUAGAGAAUGGAUUCUAAGUUAUCUACUAACUACUAAGUCAUAAUCUACUCUAGUUAUCUACAAGAUCAUAUAUAGCAUAAAAGACUCUUCAUUCAUGUAUAAGGAACAUUGAUAAAGUAAAUCAGAGCAUCGCAUGACUUACUCCACAAUACCGGUUCUGCCUGUCCUAUCAACGGAGGGUGGACUAUAUAAGAAUCAACAAAGCUGUCACUAUCGCGAACUACCACACGACCCGGCCAAUAGGAUACAUUUGCAGAUAAAUAACAUCUAAGCACCACGCUCACAUGUGAUCUAUCACCUAACUCCCUCGCGUCAAGAGCUAAGCGCUUUGCAAACUUAUACAUAAACUCAUUAUCAAUUAGAACUAUAUCAAAUAUAGAACUAGAGCAAACUAAGAACAUAAAAAUUAGAGACAUAAUGCAAUUAGAACAAAGAAUUAGAGAAAGAUAUGAAUAAUACCAAUCUUUAUUACCGAAGAUCCGAAUCCACAGCGUAGUGCUCUACUUCUCUAAUUGCUAUCUAAUCAAACCUCUAAACUUGAAGGAUUAGGGAGUAGCUAUUUCUAAUUCUCUGUGGGAGAGAAGCUCUAAACCCUAACUUUGAUGGCUACCUCUGCGUAAUGAUUUCUUCUCUUCUCCUCCAGGGGCCAGGGGGUCUGGUUUUAUAGUCCCCUCAAGUGAACGUGAGCCAUUGGAUCAAACCGACAUAGAUUGUAUGGUUUAGAUUGAUCCUUUAGGUCGGUGGAGUUUAGCCCCGAAGCAGAGUCCUGAUUGGACUCCUGGCCUGGGCGGGCGCCCAAGGGGGGUGGGCGGGCGCCCUGCCCCCGAGCCCGAUUCCCUUCUCGUUCGUUCCCGUGGCUUCUGGACUCUUCUAGAUUGAACAAAAUUGCGCGGCACGUAAUUAUCUCGUUGUAAACAUGACAUGUGGGCCUUCUCUCCAUAUUCUCUGAUAACCCCCUGCAGAAAUAGAUAAACACCAAAGCUCGUGGAAUUCUGUCAGAUAAAACCCUAAUUCUAGAUGUUUGUUUCAUAUUGAUCCUUUUGCAUGUUUAUUUGAUUAUUAAUUUUGGUACUUAAGGACCGUCAACAUUCAUGAGGCUCAAAAGUAUGACACUGGUUUGAUUGCAUUUUGCUUUUAUAUGUAUGUAUCAUAUUUAUCAUUAGGUAGCAAAUAUCAAGGUAGCAUAUUAAAUCCCAUCACCACAUGAUCAAAUGUAUACAACAAUUAAGGAUAACACAUAUAAACAACAUAAUAAACCAUCAUUUAUCAUCAUUAAUCAUGUUCACCAGUGUCCAUCUAUUCUAUCAGUUUUCCAGGCCGCCCGUAUCCGUGGGCACGGCUAGUAUACCAGAUUUAACACUCUGCAGAGGUUUUACAUCUUUACCCAAGAGUCAUGAUUUACCCUUUCGCCCGAGGUGAUCAGCCUCUUAACCCUCUACUAUGGAAGGUCGGCAAGGAUCACUAUGAAGUCUUUCAAAAGUUCAUCUAACAUGUUAGGGCCGCAAGGUUUCCUCAGUGCAUAGAUGUAGAGCUCCCCUUCCAAAUGGCACAAUGACAUGCAGCCUAUACACAUAAGGACAGAGGCCGCACUAUACCCAAAACGGCAAGCCCCUCUAGCGCCCUUUCAGGUAACCUCUAACAAGCUAGAAAAGGUUUUCAUAUUGAGCUAAAGCCAGAGCCAUAUAGUCCUCAUGGUUGUACGAGUUGUCCCAGCUUUUGCCAAUUGAUAAGUCCUUAUGGAGGGUCAAGAUCAAUCUAGCAAAAGCUAGAGUUCUUUCCACUCUUUAUGUUCAAGUUGCUAGAAAGUUUAUUUUAUUGUUUAUUGUAUAUCCAAAUAUUCAUGUUACAGGAUCAUGAAUUAUAAUCAAGCACUAGCAAGAACUACCCAAAUGCAUAUCCAAAUAGGUAUCAAGGAAUUCAAGGUAACAAUCAUCUAUGAAUUUACUAGGGUUGUCAAGGUGGACACAUGCAUAUGAUAUUUGUAUUAAAAGUGUGUAGGUAACAAGGAUAGUCCCAGGCUAUACUUGCCUUAAACACUUGCUCAUUUCGCUCAUCAUCAGCUUUCGGUCAUCAUCUUCUGAUCUUCAAUGCCCACAAACAGUUCUCAUCUACUCGUUGCAAGCACCAUACAUAGACAAACAUAAAUGCAGCAAAAAGAAACAACUAAGAAAAGCUUUAAAAGAGAGCGCACUAAACGGCACGACAUGAUGCUAAGGUUACCAGAAACGCCGGAACCAAAACUAUCAUUAAAAAGAAAUGACUACUUGAAGUUUUAGAUAUUAUAAAAGAAACAACUAUGAUUUUAAUAUGUUUUCAUUAAGAAAAAUCAUGUGUAACCUACUAAUUCAGAUAAGUCAAAUUAUAUUUUAAUUUUAAAACAAAUUGGAACUUGUUAUAUUUUAUUUAUGAUCAUGUCUAUUAUAUAAUCAAUAAUCAUAUUUUAAAUAUAAGCAUGCAUGCAUCAUUUUAAUCAAAGUAAACUUUAACUUUUCAAAGAAAGUGUGAGAACAUCUAUUCAAAUUAUAAAUGAUACGUGUUGGAGAUGACUAUAUUUACAUAAUUUUAUAUCAUUUAUGUCGGUUAAACUUAAACUUGUAAAAUAAUGUAACAUGUGAUCUCUAAAAUAAGGUUAUGUUAUAUAUUGCGUGAUUGUCUAAGCAAAAUAUAAUUACAACAUAUUCAAGUUGCUAUUAGCUAAAUUCAGGACCAUAUAAUUACAAAGGACCGACAUGUCAAACCUAUAUUAUUUUUAUUUAUAAAACUAACUACAGGCAUAUUAAGCAAUUAAAUAUUUAGCAACAUAUGGAAAAUAUGUGACAUCAAAAACAUGUAGAUUACAUUGCUAUGAGUCUAACGCAGCUUGAACGGAUCAAAAUGCAGUUAAAACAAAGAUUAUAUGGUCAAAGCAAGCUAGUGUAUUUACUUUGUAUUUCUAGAAUUAUUUUUGUAAAGAAAAACGGCCACAAAACUCAUGUGAUGUCAUCAUGUUGUCAUCAUGGCAUAAUCAAGUUAGCAAUGAAAAAAUCUACACUGCAGCCAACACAAUAUCUCAGCAUGAUAAUUCGGAUUGCCGGCGAACUCAGAAAUAUAGUCUAGGGACCUCGGUUCGACACAGCGAGGACACACAGAGAUACAAAGGCUACGGAGAGCUCACCUAGGUUAUUCACAAUUACGAUGGACGCACAGCGAGGACGUAGAGCUCGGUGGAGCGGAUGCAUCAACAGGUUCUUCACCUCCUCGUGGAUCUCAGCAAGACGUACACAUACAACAUCAGCAGGUUCUGUUCCUUAGACAUCACGUAUAUGGGCAUGGCUGACUGCUGCCCUGCUAAAGCCUUCGUGGCUGGUUUGCACGGCAGGGGUAAAAAUCUCCACACUCACGCACGCAUAAGGGCAGCGCGGCCACGAUCUCUGAGCAGCUCGGGGCGGCGGAAGCUAGCUAGGGCAAAUCCAAUAAACUGAUUUAUCAAUAAAGCAUAUGGCUUCGUCCUUUAUAUGAGGAAGGAAAUCGAGAGGUUCACAUAUGCAACGAUACAGAGGCUGACCCAAAAACACUAGACCUUUCGUAGGCUCAAAAGUGAGGGAAUAGGUGAAUAUGUGCCAACCUAGUUGAUUGAGAAGACAAAGUGAUCCGAGAUAAAUUAUUUAGGCCUUGUUCAGUUCGCAAAAAUUUUCAAGAUUCCCUAUCACAUCGAAUCGUUAGUCACAUGCAUGAAGCAUUAAAUAUAGACAAAAACAAAAACUAAUUGCACAGUUUACCUGUAAUUUGUGAGAUGAAUCUUUUGAGCCUAGUUACUCCGUGAUUAGACAAUGUUUGUCAAAUAAAAACAAAAGUGCUACAGUAGCCAAAAACCAAAAAUUUUGCCAACUAAACAAAGCCUUAGAGCUGAUGGAAAGAUUUAUAUUUUUUGGAAUUAAAUAAAUUCAUGGAUAAAAUAAUUUCAUAAAUGUCCAAAAUUAUUAUUAAUUAUACCGUGAAAAAUUAUCUGAAAGCUCCAAAAAUUCGGGAAAAACUAUCAGAGACAUUAUGGAACAAGAGGAAUCCAAAUAAAGUAUUUUGGAGCUUAUGAAAGGAUAUCUAGGUGUCACACCUAAAUUUCAAGAACAAAAUAGAGUUCAUAAAAGACUCAUGUGCGCCCAGAAUCAGUCGCACACAUAAGUUGAGUUGACAAAUCUUAAAUAGUACCAUCACAAUGUGUAUUACAUAGCGGAAUAAUAAUUAUUACAUAGUCUUAAACAAAUAAAGAUACUCUUGACGGAAGCACCACAUAGGGACAUUGUGAACUGGUUGACUCCAAGCCUAGUACUCAUAACAGUAGUCCUUAUUCCAGUCAUCUACAUUAGAAUAUCCUGAGGUGUUGUGAAAUAGCAAGAGUGAGCACAUAUCGUACUCAACAAGUAUAACCAGGGAUUCAUGAGGCUCAAUUUGCUGACACUAGUUUGACUGCGUUAGCUUUUAUAUGUAGAUAGGAUAUUUAAUCAUUGGAUAGCAAAUAUAAAGGUAGCAUAAUUAAUCCCAUAACCACAUGAUCAAUGUAUACAAGAAUUAAGAAAAACACAUAUAAACAACAUAAUAAACCAUCAUUAAUCAUGUUCACCAGUGUCCAUCUAUUCCGUCAGUUUUCUGGGCUGUCCGUAUCUGUGGGCACGGCUAGUAUACCAGAUUUAACACUCUGCAGAGGUUGUACAUCUUUACCCAUGAGUCGUGAUUUACCCUUUCUCCCGAGGUUGCAAGUCUCUUAACCCCCUUCCUAGGGAGGUCGACAGGGAUCACUAUGAAGCCUUUCAAAGGUUUCGUCUAACAAGUUAGGGCCAUUAGAUUCACUCAGUAGGUAGAUAUAGAGCCCCCCUUCUAUGGCACAUAACACGCAGCUUAUACAUACGGACAGAGGCCGCACUAUACCCAACGUGUCUAGCCAUUUUCACGCCAUUUAAGAUAACCGCUAAUAAGCUAGAAAAAGGUCCUCGUACUAAGCUAAAACCAGAGCCAUAUAGCCCCCAUGGUUGUACGAGUUGUCCCAGCUUUAGCCAAGGGAUAAGUCAUUAUGGAGGGCUAAGAUCAAUUCAGCAAAAGCUAGAGUUCUUUACACCCUUUAUAUUCAAGUUGCUAGAAAGCUUAUUUUAUUGCUUAUUGUAUAUCCAAAUAUUCAUGUUACAAGAUCAUGGAUUAAUAAUCAAGCACUAGCAAGAACUACCUAAAUGCAUAUCUAAAUAGGCAUCAAGGAAUUCAAGAUAUCAAGCAUCUAUGAUUUCACUAAGGUUGUCAAGGUGGACACAUGCAUAUGAUAUUUAUAUUAAAAGUGGAUAGGUAACAAGGAUAGUCCCAAGUUAUACUUGCCUUGAUCAAAGCUCUCCUGAGACUGUAGCUGGUCGACAAAAGAUUGGCCUUGAUCACCAACGUAUUGCUCACUGUCUAUACUCGAUCAUCAAUCAACAACACGCAUUCGAACGGAGACAAUCAUACACAAAGCAAACAAGCUAUAAUUAGAACAAUACACCAAUAGUGAUAAAACAAAUAUAAAAGUUUAUAAAAAUGUUCUACGCAGCGCUACGAUCACCCAGACGUAAAGAUCACGAAAAUCAGAGUUAGAACGGUGAAGUCAUGAAUUUUCUAAGAUUUCUUAUAGAAGAAUAAUUAAUUAAAUAGUACCACGAAAUUAAAAAGUUAGAAACUGAGAAUACAGAGGUACUAACAUGUAGAGCUCGCAAAGACGAACCUAACACAAUUUGAGUGGGUCAAAUCAGAAGUAAAAUGAGCAUUUUAUGAGCAAAACCAUUUCAGUGGCAAACUUGUAAAUAUCAGAAAACGUAUUUUGAUUCAAAGUGGCUUCUAUGCGUUUCUAAACCCAUUUUUGGAGUACGGGUUUAUACUUAAAAAGAGCAGGGGCUCUUUCAAAAAUUUUCCAAGCGAAGGAGUAUCGGAAUCUGGCGACCAUUGGAUCAUGAACGAAGGGCCGAGGUCGAUCUAGGAGGGAGGGGUCGGCCGCCGGCGGGCUCCCACGGCGGCGCCAUGGCCGUGAGGCCGAACUCCUUGAUGGAGCUCGCGAACUAGGCGCUGGACCCACCAAAAAUGGAACCGAGGGCAUGGGGACGAAGCAAGGACUCAAGCGAACUCACCUAGGCGCCCAACGUGGACCGAGAGAGCCUAGAGGAGGCGGACGUCGCGUGAUGGCACAUAGCGGCGUCCCUGUUCACAUCGGUGAUGAUUAGGGCUCCACAGAGACCGGUAGAGAACAAGGGUAAGACUCGGGAGUCUCGUUACCUAGUUGUGAAGCUCGGCAAAUACUCAAAUUUGACGGCAUGGCCACGAUUGGCAAGAACCACGGUGGCGGCCUUGCUCGCGGCUCGGUGAGAUCCAAAACGAUGCCAGAGCAACCUUAGUAUGCAAUAGAGGGGAAAGAAAGCCUGGGAGAGGGUCUCGACACCCUAUAGAAGCUGGGAAGAUCUCUUACUCAGAGAAAUCCCGUGGAGUUCGGGAUUUUGGUUCGGUGGCUAAAGAGGAAACCGGCUCGGUUACGAUGGAGAAGAAAGGAAGGUGGGAGAAGACACCGGCCCAGUUGUCAGCGAAAGAAAAAGAGAGGGGAAGGAGGUGUGCGCCUGGGCCAGCUGUUGGGCUGGGAGAGCUAGCCUGCGAGGGAGCCGAGGUAAAUGGGGUCUGGGCCACGCGAGGGGGAGGAAGAGCCAACCCUCGGCUUGGUUCCAGGGUGGCUUCUCUUUUUUUAUUUCUAUUUCCUUUUUUUCUAAAGCCUUUUGAGAAGAGAUUUUAAAACCUUUUGGAGACAAAACAAACACACAGAAAAUAAUAAAUAAUUAUUCCAACAUGUAUGCACAAGCCUGGUUCCUAAUCUUAUUGUCACGGAACCGUCCAAAUUAUAAGAGCACAAGUACAAAAACAAUCGCCGAAGUGAUCAAUUUAUCAUACUUGAGCCCAUAUAAUUCUGGUAGUCCAACAAAAUCACGAGGGAUUUCAAACCAACCAACAUACAAGCAAAGAUCGUAGUGAUUCAACAUAACAAGUCACAUGUUACAUACAUUUCGCAAGUAGUUCAAAUACAUCGGAGUUCAACAAGGUUACUACAACUCAGGUUUACAAAUAGCGAAAGCAAAGUAAUUUGAAACCAAUAUCACUUUUAUUUCAAAUACAUGCCAGUACCAUGGUCCAUUCCAACAAAAGCAUCAAAGAUGAGGUAACUAGGAAGGAUCGUGCCCAUGAUCUUACUCCUUCACUACAGUAGGAGUCAUACAAAUCUUGCAGUAGCUAUGAUACAUCACAACCUGCAACAAGUGGGAAUAAAACCUUGAGUACGAGAAUGUACUCAGCUAGACUUACCCGUCAUAAACCAGAAAUAAAUGACACCAAGGAGUAUGCAAGGCUGAUAUAUAAGUGGAGCUUGCUGGACAACAUUUUGCAUAAAAAGCUUAAGUAUAAAUAGUUAAACUUUUCUUAUUUAGCAUCCAUUUAAUUCUCAUUAACCUAUCAACUAGAUUAGCACCUGUACUAUAGCAAUCACUUGAUUAAUAUCUAUCAAUAAUAACCAUAUCAGGUUUAUCAAGUCCGUGAUCAUCAUCAUCAUCAUCAUAGAACCAUUAAGUUAUUUAGUGAAUGCUACGUUAGCCACUGCUCGGUCAAGUUCUCACUAUCCGGGAGAGACGCGAUUUAAAUCGAUUCCUAUCCAGCUGGAGGGUUAUUCCUAACACUCACCCAUGCUUCCCCCGUCGGAGACCAUGUGGGUCACCUUUGGUACGACUUAGGAAUCACGGCUCCGAUCAGCGUCGCACUCCCAGGGCUGCCGCUCGGCCAGGACGAUCAGGACUUUUAAAUCACCUGCCCUUGGUCUUACGCCAAUGGCCCCCCGCACACCGUACUUCCUUCGGUAGUGCACACUUUAUACUUGCCGGUCUUCCGGCCUGAGUCAUACUACUAGGCUUCGCGGUCGGAACGACUUAUCCGGCCAACUAAGUGUUAGGCAUGCGUUCAACAUGACAAGAGGACUGAAAGCCCAUGUUUGGUUUUGGUAAUUAAUGACACCAAGUUGCUAAUGCUUUGUGUUCAAGUGAUUUGAGUUAGGCAUAGAAACACAUUUGAAGAAGGAGCAACGUGAUAUGAGUGGUGGACACAUGGUCAUAAAGAGAGAAGGCAUGAAGUGGAGAUCAUGGUGAUGGACAAGGAGUAAAGUGAUCAAGGCAAAGGUAUAAACAUAGGAUUUUGCUUUUGCCGGUCUAAGUUGAGUAGAGAAGUGAUUGACCGGAUUUAGGAUAGAUAGCCAUACUAUAAAGAGGGGAAUCUUUAAUUGCAAAGGUUAUCUAGUGCCACUAAGUGUGAGUCUCUUUUGCAUAUAACUAGCGCUUAGUGACGUGGUGAGAAUACUUGAGAAAGCCCUAAAAAUUAUUUGUGAAAAUGCUAACUUAAGUGCUCAAUUGUUUUUGGUACUUUGUGGGAAAGUUAGCACCUUAAAAAGGGGUUUUGAGUUGGAAAACCGAGCUAGUAGUCUUGCCCAAAUAGAGAGGGUUCGAUCGGAAUUAUUCACUGCCCUACCUGGAUAUUCUAGUGUUUGUGCUUGCAACAGAGAGGGGUCGAUCGGAAUUAUUUCCUUCCCGCACUGGAAAUUUUCCGGUACUUUAGUUCACCCACGCCAAUGGUCAAAAGCGUGUGCGCUUGGAAUUAUUUCCUACACGCACUGGAAUUUCUCGUGAGUUUGGGCUGCUGCAACGGUUGGAUGAGUGGCUGGCAGAGGAUAAGGUCGGGUCUCACCCCUUCCUUUCUUCCUCCUCAAUCCAUUCCCCAUUCUUGCUCUCUUGAAGAACUCCAAGAAAAGAAAAGCUCUCCCCUCCUCCUCUCUCACACCCAAGGAUUUGUGUUCCAUUCAAGUGAGAGAUUGAGCUCUAGUGAUAGAUCUGAGAGCUUCAAGAGCAUCUCUUCCCUCUCCUCUCCAUCCCCAUAGCUUGGUGCUCUUUGGUGAGAGGAUUUGGGAAACCCUAGUGUUGUGCUUUUGUGAUUUCAUUCUUGUGGCACUAGGUGGUGAUUGCAAGUGUGGAUUUCUUGUUACUCUUGGGUGUUUCCCAACACCCUAGACGGCUUGGUGCAAGCGAGGUGUUGAGCUCGUGAUUGGAGAUUGUUUCGAGCCUCACCAAGUGAUUUAUGAGGGGUUCUUGAGCCUUCCCCGCGGGAGAUCAAAAUUGGCUACUCUAGUGGAUUGCUCGUGGCUUGGAGGAUCCCCAUCUUGUGAGUGGAUGUGCGGCACCCGCUGAGGGUUUGGCUUUGGAUUGCCAAUUAGCUCGCAAUCCAUCAAGUGGGUGUAUCGCCACAACGAGGACUAGCUUGCUGGGAAGCAAGUGAACCUCGGUAAAAAUCUUGUGUCAUCUCUUGCCGAGGAUUCUCUUGUGAUUGUGAGUGAUUGGUUGGAUAUAUCUCUACUCUACAAUAUUGGUAUAACAAUCACUCUUCACUCCUUUACUUUCUUGUAUACCUUGCUAGUUGUUUAGCUUGUUUAGUUUAGUCUUCUUGUUUAGGAGUGUAACUAGCCUUCUCUUGUUGUUGUGCUUUAGUGUUUAGCCUUGUACUAGUUUGUAUAGGUUGCUUGCAUAGCUUAGUUGAGCUAGUGCUAGUUUUGCUUCGCCUUUUGUUUUACUAACUCACUUGCUUAGUGAAGUUUGUAGAAUUUUUUAAAUAGGCUAUUCACCCCCCUCUAGCCAUUGUGACCUUUGAAGUGGUAUCAAAGCCGAGGCACCGUUUAUUUGAGGCUUAACAACCUACGGUGAAGAAAUGGCUCUUAGUUUGCAUAUCAACAACACCAAGAAGGCACCUUACUUUGAUGGCACCAAUUAUGCUUAUUGGAAGGUCAAGAUGACCGCCCAUCUCAAGUCAAUCAAUAGAGAAGUUUGGAAGGUGACCGAAACAAAGUUUGAGGUUGCAAAUGAGAAUGCACCAACACCGGUCGAAGAGAAGAAGCUUCAAUGCAAUGACAUUGCAAUUAGUGCUCUUCAUGAAGCUCUUGAUGACAAGACCUUUGAGCAAAUCAAGAACAUUGUGAUUGCUCAUGAUGCAUGGGCAAAAUUAGAAGAAACAUUUGAGGGCACCAAGGGAACCAAGACCGCCAAGGCAUACAUCCUCCAAGAAAAGUUCUCAAGCUUCAAGAUGCAAGAAGAUGAAAGUGUGCCGGAGAAGCCUCAAGCUCACCGGUUGAAAGUCAUUGUGAAUGAACUCAAGGCACUUGGGGAAGAAGUAAAAGAUAGUCAAUUCUCUAUGAAGUUCUUGAGAAGCUUGCCCAAGAGAUUUGACACAUUGAUCACUGUGCUAGUCAAGACAACACUUAGUGAAUCAACUCCCCAACAAGUGUUCCAAGAAGUGAUGACCGAUGAUGCUUAUAGAGAGGAUGAUGAAAAGGAUGAGUUGAUGAAGAAAAAGAAGAAGGAUGGUGAGAAGAAGGAUGAUGAGAAGAAGAAGAGUGUGGCAUUCAAGGCCUCCACAUCCAAGGGCAAAGCCAAGCAAGAAUCAUCAAGUGAAGAAGAAGCAAGCUCUUGUGAUAGUGAUGAAGAUGAGGAGAUGGCUCUUCUUGUCAAGAGAUUUGGCAAGUUUAUGAAGAAGAAGGGCUAUCGGGCAAGAAGGAAGAAGAGCUCCUCCAAGAAGAAUGACCAUUCCAUGAGGUGCUUUAGAUGCCAUAGCAAGGAUCAUCUCAUCGCCAUGUGUCCUUAUGAUAGUGAUGAUGAAGAUGCUAUCAAGAAGGAAAGAAAGAAGCAAAAGAAGAAGCAAGAGAAGAAGGAAGGCUCAAACAAGAAGAAGGGUGAUGCCCAUGUUGCAACUUGGGAUAGUGAUGACUCCUCAAGUGAUGAUGAUAGCACCAAGAAAAAGGCGCAUGCUAGCAUUGCAAUUCAAGGAAAGAGCUCCAUCUUCGACACUCCAUCAUGCUUCAUGGCUAAGGCCACUAAGGUAUCAUCCGAUGAUGAGAGUGACCAUGAUAGUGAUAGUGAUAGUGAUGAUGAUGAACCAACUAAAGAUGAACUAAUCACUAUGCUAGAAGAUUGCACUCAUCACUAUAAAGAAACUAGGAAGGAGUGCAAGGCCUUGCUUAAGGAUAAGAAAACCCUUGAGCAAGAACUUGAUGAGCUUAGAGCAUCUUAUGAGUGUCUAAAGGAAGACCAUAAGAAGCUUCAAAAGGCUCACAUUAAGCUUGAAGAAGCUCAUUCCUCACUAGUUAACAAAUGUGAUAAUGAGACAACUAAAAUUGAAAAAGCUCAAACUUGCAACAUAGGCAUAACGUGUGAUAUCUUAAGUAAGCCUAUUGUUAUUGCUUCUACUAACCCUUCAUGUAGCACAUCUACAUCAUCCUCAUCUGGUAGUGAUGGUUUCACUUGUGACACCACACUAAAAGUUGAGAAUGAAAUUCUCAAGAAGAAGGUGAAAGAGCUCAAUCACACCUUAGCCAAGGCUUAUGGUGGUGAGGACCGCUUGCUUAUGUGCUUGGGUAGCCAAAGGGCUUCUCUCUACAAAGAGGGAUUAGGCUAUAACCCCAAGAAAGGCAAAGUAUUGCAAAGCUUGCAAGCAAGUUGGUCACCUAGAGCAACAAUGCAUGAACAAGAAACCCAAAGCUUAUGUAUCCUCAAUUAAGCUUAAUUCCUUCUAUGUGCUUACCAAGGAUACAAAAGGUGUUCAUGCUAAGUUCAUUGGUGCACCAUGGAUGGGCUCAAAGAAGAAAGCCAUUUGGGUACCAAAGAGCUUAGUUGCUAACCUUGAAGGACCCAAUCAAGUUUGGGUACCUAAAAAGAAUUGAUCUUGUCUUGUAGGUCAAUUACAAAGCCAGAGGAAGGCAUUGGGUGCUUGAUAGUGGGUGCAAUCAACAUAUGACCGGGGAGUCUUAUAUGUUCAAAUAAAUUGAUACUAGUCAAAAUGGUGGCUUUGAUUCUAUCACUUUCGGCAACAACAAGAAAGGCAAGGUCAAAGGGCUUGGUAAAAUUGCUAUCUCAAAUGACAUGAGCAUAUCAAGUGUGUAGCUAGUUGAGAGCCUUGAUUUCAACCUCUUGUCAAUUGCACAACUUUGUGACCUUGGUUUCAAGUGCAUCUUUGGUAGUGAUGAUGUUGAGGUGGUUAGUGUUGAUGGAUCAAACUUGAUAUUCAAAGGAUUUAGGCAUGGUAGCUUAUACUUGGUUGAUUUCAAUGAUAGUGACACUCAAUUGACAUCUUGCCUAAUUAGCAAAUCAAGUUUGGGUUGGUUGUGGCAUAGAAGGCUUGGUCAUGUUGGAAUGAAACAAUUGAACAAACUAUUGAGGCAUGACUUAGUUAGAGGCUUGAAGGAUAUCACCUUUGAGAAGGAUAAACCAUGUAGUGCUUGUCAAGCCGGAAAGCAAGUUGGAAAUGCACAUCCUAAGAAAAGUGAAAUGAGCACAUCAAAGGCAUUUGAGCUAUUGCACAUGGAUUUAUUUGGGCCAACAACAUACACUAGCAUUGGUGGCAACAAGUAUGGUUUUGUGAUAGUUGAUGACUACACUAGAUACACUUGGGUGUUCUUUCUCUAUGACAAGAGUGAUGUUUGUGAUCUAUUCAAGUCUUUUGUCAAGAGGGUGCAAAAUGAGUUUGAAACCACUAUCAAGAAGAUUAGAAGUGAUAAUGGUAGUGAAUUCAAGAACACAAGAAUUGAGGAAUUGUGUGAUGAUCUUGGCAUUGGACAUCAAUUCUCUCCAACAUACACUCCUCAAUCUAAUGGUGUACUUGAAAGAAAGAAUAGAACCUUGAUUGAUAUGGCUAGAUCAAUGCUUAGUUAAUGUUGGGUAUUCUUAACAUCAUUACCAAAAGUAGACUAAGUUCUCUAAAUCUAGUAACGGUGCCAAAAAUGCCAAACCUAUCCCUCACACCACUUAAGCCAAGUUGUCAUCCCCAGCAUGAUAUAAGAGACGCGGUAUUGAAAUAUGCAAUUGCUCUUCUAAAUAAACAAUGAAUGGGAUCUGCAAGCGCACAGAUUAAUACCGAUGCAGCAUUUUAACCGGGAAGUAUUCCAGGUAUCGUUAUUUAUAUUUUUACCACUGGGAAGGGAUUAACAAUCAUCACUAUUGAUUACAGAAUAGAAUAUGAGAUUGAGCAUCUAUCAUUGCAUGUAUAAUUGAGAACAUUAUAUCUAACUCUUCAUAUAGGGAUUAGUGUCACAUAAAAGAUAUAUGACAUAAUGAAUAGUGACAAGGAUAACUAAUCUGAUCUAGCCACAUAAUAAAUAUGAUAAGCACCUCAAUUAGAUACUCUAGAAAGUCAUUAGCAUGGUAUUAGAACGAACUACAAGAAUAUUCCCUAAGUUAUUCUUAACUAUAUAGUCUAGCAUAUCAUAGUUAGUGCAAGCAUACUUAGCAAUCAUUGUGAGACAAGACUACACCCAUGCAUAGUGAUAUUAGCAAGGUAAAUGAGAAACAUAGCAAUCACUCCCCUGUAAUAAUAUUGCUCUGCCAGCCCAAUACACGAGAGGGGGACUAUAUAAGAAUCAAUGAAGCUGUCACUAUCACGAACCACCCCACGAUCUGGCAUAUUGGGUACAAUCGCAGAUAAAUACGGUAUAAGCACCACGCCUACACAAUAUCUAUCAUUUACCCAUGGAUCCGAUGGAUAAACGCUAUACGAUCCUAAGCAUGUAUAUAGAUCCAAUCUAACUAAGCCAAGUACAUAACUAUGAUAAACUAAGUACAAUAUAAUCUUGAAUAUAAGCAAGUAGAGCAAAGUCAUAAGCAAUAUAUUGAAGUAGAACAAAGUCAUAUUCAUAAUAUUGAAGAACAAAGAUAAUUAGAAAGCAAUUAGAAGCACAAUUAGAGAAUUACCAAGAAUCCUCUUGACAGAUCCGGAAACCAAUCGAAGAUUGACUCCUUCUAGCUCUAAUCCUAUGUAGCUAUGCUAAUCUAGAUAUCUAAUUGAUGUGGUGGCUCUAAUCUUGAUCAGAGGCUUCUUCUCCCUUGAAGAACAAUGAAUUAGGGUUGAGAGGCUCUCUCCUCCAGGGGCCAGGGGGUCUGGUUUUAUAGUCCCUUCAAGUGAAUAUGGGCCGUUGGAUAAAACCGACAUAGAUUGUAUGGUUUAGAUUCAUCCUUUAGGUCGGUGGAGAUCUCCCACGAAGCAGAGUCCUGAUUGGACUCAGGAGGUGGGCAGGCGCCCAGGGGAACAGGGCGGGCGCCCUGCCUCUGGCCCCGUUUCGCCUCCGCUUCGGUCUCGUGGCUUCUGGAGUCUUCUAGAUGUAAGAUAAUUGCGCGGCACGUUAAUAUCUCUAUGUAAUCCCGACGUGUGGGCCUUUCUUCCGUAUUUCCUGAUAACCCCCUGCAGAAAUAGACAAACACCAAAACUCAUGAAAUUCUGUCAGAUAAAACCCUAAGUCUAGAUGUUGAUUUCAUUUGGAUCCUUUCUUUAUUUAUUUGAUAAUUAAAUUUGAUACUUAAGGACCGUCAACAAACUCCCCCAAGCUUACCUCUUGCUCGUUCCUGAGCAAGGAUAGACUCAGCUAUGGAUCAUAGGUUGUUGCAAUAUCUUUUAAAAAAAUUGACGGUACACAUGCUUUUUUAAAUAAGAUCUCAUCUCUGAGUUAGAGUAAACUGUCAAGACUUAAAACUUACUUACUUUACCUUCACCAUGGGACUUGUAACCGUCACUUCUGUCUUGAGUAGUUAAAAGAUAGAACAGUCUAGCCAAGUGCCAUGUCUCUUAUUCUUGAUCAGCUAUAGCUCUGGGGUUUUUGCAGAUUUUCAAAUAAAACUCGGAGAUUCCUUGUAUGACUCUCUCAGAUCUCUCUUUUGUGGUAUUUCUGGAUCCUUACCAAGGCAGUGAUGGUAUAUACCUUCUCUCAAGAUAUGUAGUAUUUGUGGUAUAAGGCAUAGUGACAUUGCCUUCUCUCUCACCCUACUCUAAUAAGGGUUUAAUAUCUGGAGCUCAUAGGUGGGAGAUAAAGUAUACAUACUUACAAGACAUUUAUUGCAUAGUCAAACCAUGGAUCCAAAGAAACAAAUUAAUAAGUCAAAUCAAGAUGUGCAUGUGUGGCGAAUGAAUGGUGUAUGGUGAUGAUGGUGAUAACAAUGGUGGAAGUCUAAUUCUACUUUUGCUCUUUGAGGGGAUACAUACCUUUCUUGCUUUUUUAAACUUUAUGAGGAGAAUGAGAUGCUCUUCUUUUUCUUUUCUCUCAGGUGGGUAUCUUGUACCCCUAAUUCUACUGUCAGACACUUGUCUAUUUUUACCUCUCGUCUCACUUUUUCUUUUCUUUGGAGGUUUCGAGCACUUGCUCCUUUUUAUUUCCUCGUAUUUUUUUUCUUCUUCUUUUUUUUAGAGCACUCAUCUCUUGAGAUAAUAUAGCAAGUGGUAGUAACAAGAUAACUUGAGCAUUUAUUUCAUAGGGGAAAACAAAAAUAUUUUUGGUUAUUCUCUCCCGAAUUAGGAGUAGAAUAUUUUUGGGUGAUUCUGGAGAUGGAAAUAGAUUGAUAUAUGUGGAUGGUACUUCCGGAAUAGAAGUAGCAUAUAUGAGUGCACGUGCAAGUGAAAUCUUGAUUUAACCACAUGACAAGCUCCUAAGGGUCUACACAGCUUGACCACACUCAAUGCUCAUAAGCAGUAAAUAGUAAAUGUGUGGCUCAAAGUCUAGCAAGCAUGUAUAUACGGCUAUCGUAGGAAUUUAAACUCUCAUCAUACAGGAACUCAUCAUGCAACAUUUUAAAGAUUUUCAAAGAUAAAAUUCUCCAGAAUUCUAGCAUCUCUAGGAACAGAUAAACUGCAGCUCAACCUUCCCAUAUCAUAUCCGUUAACAACUUAGAUUUCAGAUCAAGUUUUCAUCCCACAAGUUUAGGUCUAGACCAAGAUUUAUAUUAUAACAGUUAUGUCUAAACUUGAGAGAGAUCUUAAAAUGUGCAAAUUAGGCAGAGCAACUAUUCAUCAUAUCCAUGCUUGAGUUUUAUUAUUAAGAUACAGAUUAGCAUAGCCACU
rnacentral:lncRNA from 1 species